AGCAAGUAAUGACGCCCUCCUCCCAGACUUGCCCCAAAGCCCCCCAGAGCUUGGUGGUGUCCCAGGACGGUCCUCCCAGGAAACAUUUUGAAUAAGUUGCUGAAGUGCCUGAUGGACGUGGCUCUCGUCACGAAAUGAGUUUGGAUCCGAGAAGCCCUCUUCUUCAUCGGAAAACAGGACAAAGAUGAGCUGCGUGCCCAUAAUUCCACGUUUACGCUGACUCCUCCAGUGCCUCAUCAAUGAAGUAAGCAGGCAGCUACGUUCUGGAUGGCUAGCAUGUACCGAAGGCACAAAACCUCCAGAGUUGGCAGAGUUAAGUCCUGGCGUGCCCGAGGCUAUCCAGGGGAACACGCGGGACAGACAGCACCCUCAGCCUGUCCCCAUGACCCUCUGCUCCAGUCUGAGGGGCAGGACACCAUGAGACCUCUCAGACACAGAGUCCACCCUCGACAUGACCCGGAUGAAAGGCAGGAGUGUGCUCGCUGAAGGGGACCCAUCUCUGCAAGCCCACAGCCCUACCUGCAGCAUCCACAGCCUCAGAGAGCAGCGGGGCCCCUUACCCCUGAACCCCCUCCAAGAGCAUCAGGACAACAAGCCUUGAGCUGUGGAGACAAGAGAAUCAGUAUCCCUGGCCCAGGGAGGAUUCCAGGAGAGGACACGGGCAGGAGCCCUGGCCCAGAGCCAGAACCAAGAGUCCAGCCAGAGGCGGCUAGAGCAUCACCUCUUCACGCAAGUGUCUUGAAACUCAGCUUGAAGAUUUCAGCAAAUGUGUCUUACAGAGAAGAGAAGAGGGAGUCAGCCCAUCGGGAUUAAAAAUAUAGAGGCAGUGACAACACACACUCGGCUUCAGUUCUUAGGAGAGUUUUGGUUUUGAUUUUUUUUUUUUUUUUGGAGAAGAUUUUUUUUUUAAUGGAUCUACACUGUUAACUGAGACUCUGUUGAGAUUCACUGGUUUACUUAAAAACUUCUCAGGGAUGUCUGUAAAUUUCAGUGUUAUAUGUCAUGAAAACUGGUGUGGGCAGAUCUGUUGGUUGAAAUAAUUUCUACUGUUUCAAAUACUGAAGGCAGGAAUAAUUGGUUUAUACUGUGUUUUAAAUAGAAGUAUUACUGGUAAGUCCCCCAGGACAUUAAACCUU
rnacentral:lncRNA from 10 species